AUUGAACGCUGGCGGCGUGCUUAACACAUGCAAGUCGAUCGGUAACGCGGGGGCAACCCUGGCGACGAGAGGCGGACGGGUGAGGAACGCUUGGGAAUCUGCCUAUCAGCGGGGGACAACCCGGGGAAACUCGGGCUAAUACCGCAUACGCUCUACGGAGGAAAGCCGGGGACCGCAAGGCCUGGCACUGAUAGAUGAGCCCAAGUCGGAUUAGCUAGUUGGCGGGGUAACGGCCCACCAAGGCGACGAUCCGUAGCUGGUCUGAGAGGACGAUCAGCCAUACUGGGACUGAGACACGGCCCAGACUCCUACGGGAGGCAGCAGUGGGGAAUAUUGGACAAUGGGGGAAACCCUGAUCCAGCGACGCCGCGUGGGUGAAGAAGGCCUGCGGGUUGUAAAGCCCUUUCGGUAGGGACGAAAGCUCUCGACCUAACACGUCGGGAGGUUGACUUAACCUACAAAAGAAGCACCGGCUAACUCUGUGCCAGCAGCCGCGGUAAUAC
rnacentral:rRNA from 1 species